GCCCUAGUAACGGCGAGUGAAGCGGCAACAGCUCAAAUUUGAAAUCUGGCUUCGGCCCGAGUUGUAAUUUGCAGAGGAAGCUUUAGGCGCGGCACCUUCUGAGUCCCCUGGAACGGGGCGCCAUAGAGGGUGAGAGCCCCGUAUAGUUGGAUGCCUAGCCUGUGUAAAGCUCCUUCGACGAGUCGAGUAGUUUGGGAAUGCUGCUCAAAAUGGGAGGUAAAUUUCUUCUAAAGCUAAAUACCGGCCAGAGACCGAUAGCGCACAAGUAGAGUGAUCGAAAGAUGAAAAGCACUUUGAAAAGAGGGUUAAAUAGCACGUGAAAUUGUUGAAAGGGAAGCGCUUGUGACCAGACUUGCGCCGGGCUGAUCAUCCGGUGUUCUCACCGGUGCACUCUGCCCGGCUCAGGCCAGCAUCGGUUCUCGCGGGGGGAUAAAGGCCCUGGGAAUGUAGCUCCUCCGGGAGUGUUAUAGCCCGGGGUGUAAUGCCCUCGCGGGGACCGAGGUUCGCGCAUCUGCAAGGAUGCUGGCGUAAUGGUCAUCAGCGACCCGUCUUGAAACACGGACCAAGGAGUCAAGGUUUUGCGCGAGUGUUUGGGUGUAAAACCCGCACGCGUAAUGAAAGUGAACGUAGGUGAGAGCUUCGGCGCAUCAUCGACCGAUCCUGAUGUAUUCGGAUGGAUUUGAGUAGGAGCGUUAAGCCUUGGACCCGAAAGAUGGUGAACUAUGCUUGGAUAGGGUGAAGCCAGAGGAAACUCUGGUGGAGGCUCGCAGCGGUUCUGACGUGCAAAUCGAUCGUCAAAUCUGAGCAU
rnacentral:rRNA from 1 species